CAGACAUGUUCACCCUGCUUGAGUUC
rnacentral:piRNA from 1 species